rnacentral:rRNA from 1 species
GAUGAACGCUGGCGGUAUGCUUAAUACAUGCAAGUCGAACGAACACACCGGUGGUUUUGGCCUUCGGGUGUGGAACGGGAGGGAAGCUUACCUCAUGGCUGAGACAACUGUUAGAAAUGAAUACUAAUACGGGACGUGAGCUAAGAUGAAAGAAUUAUUGCCUGAAAAAGAUUCCACGUUAGAUUAGCUAGUAGGUGGUGUAAGCGGCUACCUAGGCUCCGAUUUGUAGCUGGUCUGAGAGGACGAUCAGCCACACUGGAACUGAGACACGGUCCAGACUCCUACGGGAGGCAGCAGUGGGGAAUUUUCCGCAAUGGGCGAAAGCCUGACGGAGCAAUACCGCGUGAGGGACGAAGGCUUUUGGGUCGUAAACCUCUUUUCUCAAGGAAGAUGAUGACGGUACUUGAGGAAUAAGCAUCGGCUAACUCUGUG